AUUGAACGCCGGCGGCAUGCCUUACACAUGCAAGUCGAACGGUAACAGGUCUUCGGAUGCUGACGAGUGGCGAACGGGUGAGUAAUACAUCGGAACGUGCCUAGUGGUGGGGGAUAACUACUCGAAAGAGUGGCUAAUACCGCAUGAGAUCUACGGAUGAAAGCAGGGGAUCGCAAGACCUUGUGCUACUAGAGCGGCCGAUGGCAGAUUAGGUAGUUGGUGGGAUAAAAGCUUACCAAGCCGACGAUCUGUAGCUGGUCUGAGAGGACGAUCAGGCACACUGGGACUGAGACACGGCCCAGACUCCUACGGGAGGCAGCAGUGGGGAAUUUUGGACAAUGGGCGAAAGCCUGAUCCAGCAAUGCCGCGUGCAGGAUGAAGGCCUUCGGGUUGUAAACUGCUUUUGUACGGAACGAAAAGCCCCGGGUUAAUACCCUGGGGUCAUGACGGUACCGUAAGAAUAAGCACCGGCUAACUACGUGCCAGCCGCCGCGGUAA
rnacentral:rRNA from 1 species